rnacentral:rRNA from 1 species
GUCAAGAAUAUUAGUCAAUGCUCGCAAGAGUGAACUAGCUAACUGAAAUCACAAGAGUCAUGCGUAAUUGGUGGUAAUUGUGAUAACGUAAGGGAAAAAAAUGAUGUUACCCUUACUAUUAGUGUUGUCCAAAACUGGUGCCAGAAGACUCGGUAAGGCCAGAGACGCAAACGUUAGUCGUCCUAAUCAGGCGUAAAGGGUUUGUAGGCUGCUUUAAAAAUUUUAUUCUUUAAAUAGCUCUUAAAUUAAUUAAUAUCUAUAUAUAUCUUAUUUACUUUACUUUCGGGUACUGUUAAAAUAAGGUAUUAUAUAAAUAAAUAAAUUUAAGUAAAGAGAAAAUGAAUUAAAGCUAGAAUCAAAUUGGGGAUAAACCGAAUAAUACUUAGAGUAGGGAUGAUAUCCGUAGAUACUAAGGGGAAUACUAAGGGUGAAAGCUUUUUAUCUACUAUUGAUUGACGCUGAGAAACGAAGGUGAGAAUAGGAAAUAGGAUUAGAUACCCAGAUACCUCUCACUGUCAACGAUGAAUGGUGGUUGUUAGUUUAAUAAAACUGGUAACGAUGUUAACACGAUAACCAUUCCGCCUUGCGAGUACCGGUCGCAAGACUGAACCAAAAAAAUUAGUCGGUCUCGAAGCAAACGAAGUGAAGCAUGUUAUUUAAUUCGAUAUC